rnacentral:rRNA from 1 species
UACGGAAGGCAGCAGUGGGGAAUAUUGCACAAUGGGCGCAAGCCUGAUGCAGCCAUGCCGCGUGUAUGAAAAAGGCCUUCGGGUUGUAAAGUACUUUCAGUCGUGAGGAAGGUGUUAAGGUUAAUAACCUUAGCAAUUGACGUUAGCGACAGAAGAAGCACCGGCUAACUCCGUGCCAGCAGCCGCGGUAAUACGGAGGGUGCGAGCGUUAAUCGGAAUUACUGGGCGUAAAGGGCACGCAGGCGGUUAAUUAAGCUGGAUGUGAAAUCCCCGGGCUUAACCUGGGAAUGGCAUUCAAGACUGGUUAGCUAGAGUCUUGUAGAGGGGGUAGAAUUCCAUGUGUAGCGGUGAAAUGCGUAGAGAUGUGGAGGAAUACCGGUGGCGAAGGCGGCCCCUGGACAAAGACUGACGCUCAUGUGCGAAAGCGUGGGGAGCAAACAGGGAUUAGAUACC